rnacentral:rRNA from 1 species
GAUGAACGCUGGCGGCGUGCCUAAUACAUGCAAGUCGAGCGAACAGACGAGGAGCUUGCUCCUCUGAUGUUAGCGGCGGACGGGUGAGUAACACGUGGAUAACCUACCUAUAAGACUGGGAUAACUUCGGGAAACCGGAGCUAAUACCGGAUAACAUGUUGAACCGCAUGGUUCAACAGUGAAAGACGGUCUUGCUGACACUUAUAGAUGGAUCCGCGCCGCAUUAGCUAGUUGGUAAGGUAACGGCUUACCAAGGCAACGAUGCGUAGCCGACCUGAGAGGGUGAUCGGCCACACUGGAACUGAGACACGGUCCAGACUCCUACGGGAGGCAGCAGUAGGGAAUCUUCCGCAAUGGGCGAAAGCCUGACGGAGCAACGCCGCGUGAGUGAAGAAGGUCUUCGGAUCGUAAAACUCUGUUAUUAGGGAAGAACAAAUGUGUAAGUAACUAUGCACGUCUUGACGGUACCUAAUCAGAAAGCCACGGCUAACUACGUG